AGAGAGAGAGAGAGAGAGAGAAAGAGAAAGGGAGAGUGAUAGAGAAGGGGCUAGAGUAAAAAAAAUUCGCAUUCAUCAACAGAAUGUUUUCAUUUGUAACCCAUCAUCUAAACCUUUAUCUUCAUUACACCUACAUAAGGUGCCUUACAAAAAUGAACCAAUACAAUAAUGGAGUGCGUACAAUAUUCCGAUCAUAUAAAAUCAUUGAUAGAGUACCUAAUAUUUUUAUUGCAUGAAGGUUUGUUGACUAAGAGAUUUAAAUUAAACUGGUUAAAUUCAAAUUUCACACAUGCAACCCAAAAACUCUAAAUAUUUUUUUUUAUCUUCUCUUGAAAGAGAGUAUAUAAUUCCCUGGAAUAUUCUGAAGUGAACACAAAAAGGUACUAAUAAGUAAAGUUUCCCUUUC